rnacentral:lncRNA from 1 species
UGCUUGUUAAAUGCUUCUCCCUCUCCUGUAACUUUCAAAAUAGAACAAUUUUAUUGAAUAUAUUUGUCUAUGUGAUUACAGGUAUUUCUGAUGCCCAUUUUGUUCUUUCCUCCCGCCAUUUGAUGUCAUCUUAAAAACAAGUUGAAGAGUAAAUCUUAUCAGAAGAGAAGAAUAUCUGUCUCAGGAUGACUCUUCAUGGGCUAACAGUCAAGUCCUUGUAUCCCACCUUACAGCCAGAAAAUCAUAUCAUUAUUUUCAAAACUUCAUUAAGCAGGAAAUGAAUAUAUACAUUGUGCCCUCCGCACUGCGGUGUGGUUUUGCCUGAACAUGCCAUUAUAAUUUUUUUCCAGAACAUUUAAUUUUUUUGAAAAAUAUUUAGGGCUCUUUCAUGCCUUGUUUGAAUUUGUGGCAAUUAUUUAUAAUUUAUUUUAAUCAGAACCACAGAGAGCUAGUAAACAAGUCCCUCCAGGCUAGCUUGGAAAAGCUUGAAGAAACUGCUGCCAUUCCUCUGCCAGGCGCAGUAAGGAAAGCAAAACUGGGAACUGGUAAUCUUUGUGUAAUUCCAUUUGGAGAUACAGCUGUUUUAUGAGAAACUGUGAGACACAUUAUAAAGAGACUAUGAGCAGAGAACAAAAGCAGUUCUUUUAAAGAGGCUUCUUUCUUUGAAAUUUCCCUGCAGCUCUCUUAUGGUUCCCUGUAACCUCUCCCUUCCUUGUACACCAACUCAUGGCCUCCAGAUGAUAAAAGGAUUGUAUUUUAGCUGAAGAUUUGCAGAAGAAAAAUAACUGAGUUUUUUUUUUAACCUGUCUCUGAGCAAAUUAAAGUUGAAUGUAAGUGUUGGCAUCUGUCUCUAAUGUGAAUUGCAGGUACAACUGAACAGCUCCAGUUGUGCUCGGGGACAAGCAGUUCUGGAAAAAUCAGUAGCCGGUAGCUGGAACCCACUGAUUCUGUGAGAAGCCAUUGCCACCAAGAGAAAUACACCAUUUCAUGGAGCAGAAUUGGAAGUCACAAGCUGCUUUGCUAGAAAAUGAUUCCAUCGACCUCACCAAGGAACAGGAGGAGCUGCUCGAGGAGUUAGUUCAUCACAUACUGUGGGACAACUGCCCUCUGCUUUUCAGACCCAUGUCCUGGAACAGAUUUUCAGGCUUGUGCUUGCUGUUGAGCCUGUUAUUCUGGAGAAGAUUUUCUUCUUCUUCUUCUUUUUCUUCUUUUUUUUAAAACUAGGUAAGUGCAAAAAUGAUUUAAAAAAUCACUAGCCAUAUAUUCUAGGCUGCUAUUC